GGUAACCCCUGGUGAAAUGGAUAGUACGCUGGACUUUGAAUCCAGUGAUCCGAGUUCAAUCUCGGUGGAACCU